rnacentral:rRNA from 1 species
UCUACGGGAGGCCUCAGUGGGGAAUCUCUACGGGAGGCAGCAGUGGGGAAUAUUGGGCAAUGGCCGAAAGNCUGACCCAGCAACGCCGCGUGGUGGAUGAAGCCCUUCGGGGUGUAAACACCUUUUCUGGGNGAAGAUAGGGACGNACCCCAGAAUAAGGACG